CUACAACAAUAAGCGGAGGAAAAGAAACUAACAAGGAUUCCCCUAGUAACUGCGAGUGAAGCGGGAAAAGCUCAAAUUUAAAAUCUGGCGGUUUCACCGUCCGAGUUGUAAUCUGGAGAAGCAUUUUCUGUGUCGGACCGUGUACAAGUCUCUUGGAAUAGAGCGUCAUAGAGGGUGAGAAUCCCGUCCAUGACACGGACUACCGAUGCUUUGUGUUAUGCUCUCGAAGAGUCGAGUUGUUUGGGAAUGCAGCUCAAAAUGGGUGGUAAAUUCCAUCUAAAGCUAAAUAUUGGCGAGAGACCGAUAGCGAACAAGUACCGUGAGGGAAAGAUGAAAAGCACUUUGAAAAGAGAGUUAAACAGUACGUGAAAUUGUUGAAAGGGAAACGCUUGAAGUCAGUCGCGUCGUCUGAGACUCAGCCUUGCUUGCUUGGUGUAMUUCUCAGUUGACGGGUCAACAUCAAUUUUGGUUGGUGGAUAAAGGCAUUGGGAAUGUGGCACCCUCGGGUGUGUUAUAGCCCUUUGUUGCAUACACUGACUGGGAUUGAGGAACGCAGCACGCCUUUUUGGCCGGGGGUUCGCCCCACGUAACGUGCUUAGGAUGUUGGCAUAAUGGCUUUAAGCGACCCGUCUUGAAACACGGACCAAGGAGUCUAACAUGCUCGCGAGUGUUAGGGUGGAAAACCCUUGCGCGUAAUGAAAGUGAAAGUUGGGACCCUUUGCGGGGGCACCGACGCCCGGCCCUGAAGUACUCUGACGGUGCUGCGGUAGAGCGCGUAUGUUGGGACCCGAAAGAUGGUGAACUAUGCCUGAAUAGGGUGAAGCCAGGGGAAACUCUGGUGGAGGCUCGUAGCGAUUCUGACGUGCAAAUCGAUCGUCAAAUUUGGGUAUAGGGGCGAAAGACUAAUCGAACCAUCUAGUAGCUGGUUCCUGCGGU
rnacentral:rRNA from 2 species